GGCGCAAGGUUGGUCUGCAGGUGGCCUCCAGGUGCAAAGUGGGAAGUGUGAGUCCUCAGUCUUGGGCUAUUCGGCCACGUGCCUGCCGGACAUGGGACGCUGGAGGGUCAGCAGCGUGGAGUCCUGGCCUUUUGCGUCCACGGGUGGGAAAUUGGCCAUUGCCACGGCGGGAACUGGGACUCAGGCUGCCCCCCGGCCGUUUCUCAUCCGUCCACCGGACUCGUGGGCGCUCGCACUGGCGCUGAUGUAGUUUCCUGACCUCUGACCCGUAUUGUCUCCAGAUUAAAGGUACGACAUUUGGAGGCCCCAGCGAGAAACGUCACCGGGAGAAACGUCACCGGGCGAGAGCCGGGCCCGCUGUGUGCUCCCCCGGAAGGACAGCCAGCUUGUAGGGGGGAGUGCCACCUGAAAAAAAAAUUUCCAGGUCCCCAAAGGGUGACCGUCUUCCGGAGGACAGCGGAUCGACUACCAUGUGGGUGCCCACAAAAAUUCCACCUCUGAGUCCUCAACUGCUGACCCCGGGGUCAGGAACUGUUGGAAACUACUGAAACUGGCCGACCUGAUCUUCAAAAUGUGCCCCUAGGAAAGGUGGAUGCCACCGUGUUCACAGACAGUAGCAGCUUCCUCGAGAAGGGACUACGAAAGGCCGGUGCAGCUGUUACCAUGGAGACAGAUGUGUUGUGGGCUCAGGCUUUACCAGCAAACACCUCAGCACAAAAGGCUGAAUUGAUCGCCCUCACUCAGGCUCUCCGAUGGGGUAAGGAUAUUAACGUUAACACUGACAGCAGGUACGCCUUUGCUACUGUGCAUGUACGUGGAGCCAUCUACCAGGAGCGUGGGCUACUCACCUCAGCAGGUGGCUGUAAUCCACUGUAAAGGACAUCAAAAGGAAAACACGGCUGUUGCCCGUGGUAACCAGAAAGCUGAUUCAGCAGCUCAAGAUGCAGUGUGACUUUCAGUCACGCCUCUAAACUUGCUGCCCACAGUCUCCUUUCCACAGCCAGAUCUGCCUGACAAUCCCGCAUACUCAACAGAAGAAGAAAACUGGCCUCAGAACUCAGAGCCAAUAAAAAUCAGGAAGGUUGGUGGAUUCUUCCUGACUCUAGAAUCUUCAUACCCCGAACUCUUGGGAAAACUUUAAUCAGUCACCUACAGUCUACCACCCAUUUAGGAGGAGCAAAGCUACCUCAGCUCCUCCGGAGCCGUUUUAAGAUCCCCCAUCUUCAAAGCCUAACAGAUCAAGCAGCUCUCCGGUGCACAACCUGCGCCCAGUUCCAGAGAGAAGGACUCCCUCCUGCUUGGAAGAGACCUCACACCGUCAUCACGAUGCCAACGGCUCUGAAGGUGGAUGGCAUUCCUGCGUGGAUUCAUCACUCCCGCAUCAAAAAGGCCAACGGAGCCCAACUAGAAACAUGGGUCCCCAGGGCUGGGUCAGGCCCCUUAAAACUGCACCUAAGUUGGGUGAAGCCAUUAGAUUAAUUCUUUUUCUUAAUUUUGUAAAACAAUGCAUAGCUUCUGUCAAACUUAUGUAUCUUAAGACUCAAUAUAACCCCCUUGUUAUAACUGAGGAAUCAAUGAUUUGAUUCCCCAAAAACACAAGUGGGGAAUGUAGUGUCCAACCUGGUUUUUACUAACCCUGUUUUUAGACUCUCCCUUUCCUUUAAUCACUCAGCCUUGUUUCCACCUGAAUUGACUCUCCCUUAGCUAAGAGCGCCAGAUGGACUCCAUCUUGGCUCUUUCACUGGCAGCCGCUUCCUCAAGGACUUAACUUGUGCAAGCUGACUCCCAGCACAUCCAAGAAUGCAAUUAACUGAUAAGAUACUGUGGCAAGCUAUAUCCGCAGUUCCCAGGAAUUCGUCCAAUUGAUUACACCCAAAAGCCCCGCGUCUAUCACCUUGUAAUAAUCUUAAAGCCCCUGCACCUGGAACUAUUAACGUUCCUGUAACCAUUUAUCCUUUUAACUUUUUUGCCUACUUUAUUUCUGUAAAAUUGUUUUAACUAGACCCCCCCUCUCCUUUCUAAACCAAAGUAUAAAAGCAAAUCUAGCCCCUUCUUCAGGCCGAGAGAAUUUCGAGCGUUAGCCGUCUCUUGGCCACCAGCUAAAUAAACGG
rnacentral:lncRNA from 1 species